rnacentral:rRNA from 1 species
CAGCACCUCAAGUGGUCAGGAUGAUUAUUGGGCCUAAAGCAUCCGUAGCCGGCGCUGUAAGUUUUCGGUUAAAUCUGUACGCUCAACGUACAGGCUGCCGGGAAUACUGCAGCGCUAGGGAGUGGGAGAGGUAGACGGUACUCGGUAGGAAGGGGUAAAAUCCUUUGAUCUAUUGAUGACCACCUGUGGCGAAGGCGGUCUACCAGAACACGUCCGACGGUGAGGGAUGAAAGCCAGGGGAGCGAACCGGAUUAGAGACCCGAGUAGUCC